AUCGAACGCUGGCGGCAGGCCUAACACAUGCAAGUCGAGCGGAGCGGCGGACGGGUGAGUAAUGCCUAGGAAUCUGCCUGGUGGUGGGGGAUAACGUCCGGAAACGGGCGCUAAUACCGCAUACUAUCAGAUGAGCCUAGGCCGGAUUAGCUAGUGGGUGGGGUAAAGGCCUACCCAGGCGACGAUCCGUACCUGGUCUGAGAGGAUGAUCAGUCACACUGGAACGGAGACACGGUCCAGACUCCUACGGGAGGCAGCAGUGGGGAAUAUUGGACAAGGGGGGAAAGCCUGAUCCAGCCAUGCCGCGUGGGUGAAGAAGGUCUUCGGAUUUUAAAGCACUUUAAGUUGGGAGGCGUUACCAACAGAAUAAGCACCGGCUAACUUCGUGCCAGCAGCCGCGGUAAUAC
rnacentral:rRNA from 1 species